GACGAACGCUGGCGGCGUGCCUAAUACAUGCAAGUCGAGCGGACCUCUUCGGAGGUCAGCGGCGGACGGGUGAGUAACACGUGGGCAACCUGCCUGUAAGACUGGGAUAACUUCGGGAAACCGGAGCUAAUACCGGAUAAUCCUUUCCCUCUCAUGUGGGAAAGCUGAAAGACGGCGCAAGCUGUCACUUACAGAUGGGCCCGCGGCGCAUUAGCUAGUUGGUGGGGUAACGGCCCACCAAGGCGACGAUGCGUAGCCGACCUGAGAGGGUGAUCGGCCACACUGGGACUGGACACGGCCCAGACUCCUACGGGAGGCAGCAGUAGGGAAUCUUCCGCAAUGGACGAAAGUCUGACGGAGCAACGCUGCGUGAGCGAAGAAGGCCUUCGGGUCGUAAAGCUCUGUUGUCAGGGAAGAACAAGUACCGGAGUAACUGCCGGUACCUUGACGGUACCUGACCAGAAAGCCACGGCUAACUACGUGCCAGCAGCCGCCGUAAGAC
rnacentral:rRNA from 1 species